rnacentral:rRNA from 2 species
UACGGAGGGUGCAAGCGUUAUCCGGAUUCACUGGGUUUAAAGGGUGCGUAGGCGGCUUUUUAAGUCAGUGGUGAAAGACAACAGCUCAACUGUUGCAGUGCCAUUGAUACUGAAGAGCUUGAGUACAGAUGAGGUAGGCGGAAUUUAUGGUGUAGCGGUGAAAUGCAUAGAUACCAUAAAGAACACCUAUUGCGAAGGCAGCUUACUAAGCUGUAACUGACGCUGAGGCACGAAAGUGUGGGGAUCAAACAGG